rnacentral:rRNA from 1 species
AUUGAACGCUGGCGGCAGGCCUAACACAUGCAAGUCGAGCGGCAGCGGGAAAGUAGCUUGCUACUUUUGCCGGCGAGCGGCGGACGGGUGAGUAAUGCCUGGGAAAUUACCCAGUCGAGGGGGAUAACAGUUGGAAACGACUGCUGAUACCGCAUACGCCCUACGGGGGAAAGCAGGGGACCUUCGGGCCUUGCGCGAUUGGAUAUGCCCAGGUGGGAUUAGCUAGUUGGUGAGGUAAUGGCUCACCCAGGCGACGAUCCCUAGCUGGUCUGGGAGGAUGAUCAGCCACACUGGAACUGAGACACGGUCCAGACUCCUACGGGAGGCAGCAGUGGGGAAUAUUGCACAAUGGGGGAAACCCUGAUGCAGCCAUGCCGCGUGUGUGAAGAAGGCCUUCGGGUUGUAAAGCACUUUCAGCGAGGAGGAAAGGUUGGUAGCUAAUAACUGCCAGCUGUGACGUUACUCGCAGAAGAAGCACCGGCUAACUCCGUGCCAGCCGCCGCCGUAACAC